rnacentral:lncRNA from 1 species
UUCAUGUUUUUUUUUUUUUUUUUUUAAUUAUGUUAUAGCAGUUUAUUUCUUUCAUUCUUAGGUCUGGAAGUGAAAAAUUUGACUUUUCUACGCCAGAAGUUACAGCUAAUGUUCCUAAGACAAACCAGGCUUUCUUGAGUUCUGAUCUGGACAUUUCAGUUAUUGACUCUGACGUAGAAGGUAGAAAUACAAGCUCUCUUUUGGGGUGUAAAUUUUGUGCAUGAUUUGGCUUUCAUUGAGACGUCUCUGGGUAAGGAGUUACUAAGGAAGAGAAACUUACAUGCAGGUUGAAGCAUGCAGUGUCAAAUGUAUAAGGAAUAUAAAAGAUGCUGUAUAUUAGUAUAAGUUUGAAUAACCAUAAUAAAAAAAUUUCUUGAAAA